GUGUCUGAGGGACCAUGAACUAGCCCGCUGUUUAAAAUGUUUGAGGACCCCUGAGAAACUGGGUGCAUGAUCAGAGCUAUAUAAAUACAGCACAAGUUAAUAUUUCUUACUGAAAAGCUAUACCAGAGUAAGCCUUAGUUGUAAGGACAGACAUUUAAAUUCCAAAUCAUAUUCAUGCAGAAAACAGAAGCAUAAAUUUCAGGUGUCACUAAAUUAAGGAGCUAAAAGUUAAGCUUGAAGAUAUCUGCAGAUACAUAAACAAACCAGUCAUUGGAGAUGUGACGUUUUGCUAGAGCUCUCAUAGAAUUAGC